rnacentral:piRNA from 1 species
UCCAGGUGUCUAAUUACUGAAGGGAAAUCUCC